rnacentral:rRNA from 1 species
UACGUAGGGUCCAAGCGUUGUCCGGAAUUAUUGGGCGUAAAGAGCUCGUAGGCGGUCUGUUGCGUCGGCUGUGAAAACCCGGGGCUCAACUCCGGGCCUGCAGUCGAUACGGGCAGACUAGAGUUCGGUAGGGGAGACUGGAAUUCCUGGUGUAGCGGUGAAAUGCGCAGAUAUCAGGAGGAACACCGGUGGCGAAGGCGGGUCUCUGGGCCGAAACUGACGCUGAGGAGCGAAAGCGUGGGGAGCGAUCCGG